UACGUAGGGGGCAAGCGUUGUCCGGAUUUAUUGGGCGUAAAGAGCGUGUAGGCGGCUAGGUAGGUCCGUUGUGAAAACUCGAGGCUCAACCUCGAGACGCCGGUGGAAACCAUCUAGCUAGAGUCCGGAAGAGGAGAGUGGAAUUCCUGGUGUAGCGGUGAAAUGCGCAGAUAUCAGGAAGAACACCCGUGGCGAAGGCGGCUCUCUGGGACGGUGACUGACGCUGAGACGCGAAAGCGUGGGGAGCAAACAGG
rnacentral:rRNA from 1 species